rnacentral:rRNA from 1 species
UACGGAGGGGGCUAGCGUUGUUCGGAAUUACUGGGCGUAAAGCGCACGUAGGCGGAUGUUCAAGUCGGGGGUGAAAUCCCGGGGCUCAACCCCGGAAUGGCCUUCGAUACUGGACGUCUUGAGGUCUGGAGAGGUGAGUGGAAUUCCGAGUGUAGAGGUGAAAUUCGUAGAUAUUCGGAGGAACACCAGUGGCGAAGGCGGCUCACUGGCCAGAUACUGACGCUGAGGUGCGAAAGCGUGGGGAGCAAACAGG